rnacentral:tRNA from 1 species
GGCCUGGUGGUCUAGCGGUUACGAUUCUUGCUUCGGGUGCGAGAGGCCCCGGGUUCAAAUCCCGGCCAGGCCC